CCUACGGGAGGCAGCAGUGAGGAAUUUUCCGCAAUGGGCGAAAGCCUGACGGAGCAAUACCGCGUGAGGGAUGAAGGAUUUUGGUCUGUAAACCUCUUUUCUCAAGAAAGAAGUUCUGACGGUACUUGAGGAAUAAGCAUCGGCUAACUCCGUGCCAGCAGCCGCGGUAAUACGGGGGAUGCAAGCGUUAUCCGGAAUGAUUGGGCGUAAAGCGCCUGUAGGUUGUUUAUUAAGUCCGUUGUUAAAGCCUAGGGCUCAACCCUAGAAAAGCAAUGGAAACUAGUAGACUAGAGUAUGGCAGGGGGUAGAGGGAAUUUCUAGUGUAGCGGUGAAAUGCGUAGAUAUUAGAAAGAACACCGGUGGCGAAAGCGCUCUACUGGACCAUUACUGACACUCAGAGGCGAAAGCUAGGGUAGCAAAAGGGAUUAGAUACCCCUGUAGUCCUAGCCGUAAACGAUGGAUACUAGAUGUUGUGCAUUAUGUACAGUAUCGUAGCUAACGCGUUAAGUAUCCCGCCUGGGGAGUACGCUCGCAAGGGUGAAACUUAAAGGAAUUGACGG
rnacentral:rRNA from 1 species